GGGUUGUGAGGUUAAGCGACUAAGCGUACACGGUGGAUGCCCUGGCAGUCAGAGGCGAUGAAGGACGUGCUAAUCUGCGAUAAGCGUCGGUAAGGUGAUAUGAACCGUUAUAACCGGCGAUUUCCGAAUGGGGAAACCCAGUGUGAUUCGUCACACUAUCAUUAACUGAAUCCAUAGGUUAAUGAGGCGAACCGGGGGAACUGAAACAUCUAAGUACCCCGAGGAAAAGAAAUCAACCGAGAUUCCCCCAGUAGCGGCGAGCGAACGGGGAGCAGCCCAGAGCCUGAAUCAGUGUGUGUGUUAGUGGAAGCGUCUGGAAAGGCGUGCGAUACAGGGUGACAGCCCCGUACACAAAAAUGCACAUAUUGUGAGCUCGAUGAGUAGGGCGGGACACGUGGUAUCCUGUCUGAAUAUGGGGGGACCAUCCUCCAAGGCUAAAUACUCCUGACUGACCGAUAGUGAACCAGUACCGUGAGGGAAAGGCGAAAAGAACCCCGGCGAGGGGAGUGAAAAAGAACCUGAAACCGUGUACGUACAAGCAGUGGGAGCACGCUUAGGCGUGUGACUGCGUACCUUUUGUAUAAUGGGUCAGCGACUUAUAUUCUGUAGCAAGGUUAACCGAAUAGGGGAGCCGAAGGGAAACCGAGUCUUAACUGGGCGUUAAGUUGCAGGGUAUAGACCCGAAACCCGGUGAUCUAGCCAUGGGCAGGUUGAAGGUUGGGUAACACUAACUGGAGGACCGAACCGACUAAUGUUGAAAAAUUAGCGGAUGACUUGUGGCUGGGGGUGAAAGGCCAAUCAAACCGGGAGAUAGCUGGUUCUCCCCGAAAGCUAUUUAGGUAGCGCCUCGUGAAUUCAUCUCCGGGGGUAGAGCACUGUUUCGGCAAGGGGGUCAUCCCGACUUACCAACCCGAUGCAAACUGCGAAUACCGGAGAAUGUUAUCACGGGAGACACACGGCGGGUGCUAACGUCCGUCGUGAAGAGGGAAACAACCCAGACCGCCAGCUAAGGUCCCAAAGUCAUGGUUAAGUGGGAAACGAUGUGGGAAGGCCCAGACAGCCAGGAUGUUGGCUUAGAAGCAGCCAUCAUUUAAAGAAAGCGUAAUAGCUCACUGGUCGAGUCGGCCUGCGCGGAAGAUGUAACGGGGCUAAACCAUGCACCGAAGCUGCGGCAGCGACACUAUGUGUUGUUGGGUAGGGGAGCGUUCUGUAAGCCUGUGAAGGUGUACUGUGAGGUAUGCUGGAGGUAUCAGAAGUGCGAAUGCUGACAUAAGUAACGAUAAAGCGGGUGAAAAGCCCGCUCGCCGGAAGACCAAGGGUUCCUGUCCAACGUUAAUCGGGGCAGGGUGAGUCGACUCCUAAGGCGAGGCCGAAAGGCGUAGUCGAUGGGAAACAGGUUAAUAUUCCUGUACUUGGUGUUACUGCGAAGGGGGGACGGAGAAGGCUAUGUUGGCCGGGCGACGGUUGUCCCGGUUUAAGCGUGUAGGCUGGUUUUCCAGGCAAAUCCGGAAAACUAAGGCUGAGGCGUGAUGACGAGGCACUACGGUGCUGAAGCAACAAAUGCCCUGCUUCCAGGAAAAGCCUCUAAGCAUCAGGUAACAUCAAAUCGUACCCCAAACCGACACAGGUGGUCAGGUAGAGAAUACCAAGGCGCUUGAGAGAACUCGGGUGAAGGAACUAGGCAAAAUGGUGCCGUAACUUCGGGAGAAGGCACGCUGAUAUGUAGGUGAAGUCCCUCGCGGAUGGAGCUGAAAUCAGUCGAAGAUACCAGCUGGCUGCAACUGUUUAUUAAAAACACAGCACUGUGCAAACACGAAAGUGGACGUAUACGGUGUGACGCCUGCCCGGUGCCGGAAGGUUAAUUGAUGGGGUCAGCGCAAGCGAAGCUCUUGAUCGAAGCCCCGGUAAACGGCGGCCGUAACUAUAACGGUCCUAAGGUAGCGAAAUUCCUUGUCGGGUAAGUUCCGACCUGCACGAAUGGCGUAAUGAUGGCCAGGCUGUCUCCACCCGAGACUCAGUGAAAUUGAACUCGCUGUGAAGAUGCAGUGUACCCGCGGCAAGACGGAAAGACCCCGUGAACCUUUACUAUAGCUUGACACUGAACAUUGAGCCUUGAUGUGUAGGAUAGGUGGGAGGCUUUGAAGUGUGGACGCCAGUCUGCAUGGAGCCGACCUUGAAAUACCACCCUUUAAUGUUUGAUGUUCUAACGUUGACCCGUAAUCCGGGUUGCGGACAGUGUCUGGUGGGUAGUUUGACUGGGGCGGUCUCCUCCUAAAGAGUAACGGAGGAGCACGAAGGUUGGCUAAUCCUGGUCGGACAUCAGGAGGUUAGUGCAAUGGCAUAAGCCAGCUUGACUGCGAGCGUGACGGCGCGAGCAGGUGCGAAAGCAGGUCAUAGUGAUCCGGUGGUUCUGAAUGGAAGGGCCAUCGCUCAACGGAUAAAAGGUACUCCGGGGAUAACAGGCUGAUACCGCCCAAGAGUUCAUAUCGACGGCGGUGUUUGGCACCUCGAUGUCGGCUCAUCACAUCCUGGGGCUGAAGUAGGUCCCAAGGGUAUGGCUGUUCGCCAUUUAAAGUGGUACGCGAGCUGGGUUUAGAACGUCGUGAGACAGUUCGGUCCCUAUCUGCCG
rnacentral:rRNA from 1 species